UACGGGGGGGGCAAGCGUUGUUCGGAAUUACUGGGCGUAAAGGGCUCGUAGGCGGCCAACUAAGUCAGACGUGAAAUCCCUCGGCUUAACCGGGGAACUGCGUCUGAUACUGGAUGGCUUGAGUUUGGGAGAGGGAUGCGGAAUUCCAGGUGUAGCGGUGAAAUGCGUAGAUAUCGGGAGGAACACCAGUGGCGAAGGCGGCGACCUGGGCCAAUACUGACGCUGAGGUGCGAAAGCGUGGGGAGCAAACAGG
rnacentral:rRNA from 1 species